AUUUCAAGCUUCCAGUGCUGACUGUGAAAGAGGAUUUAGUUUAAUGAAUCAUAUCAAAACAAAAUCCAGAAAUCGUCUUGAAGUGACACAUUUGGACCAGCUGAUGCGCAUAAAGUCAAAGCAAGAAGCAGACGAAGCCAUCAACCUGGACAAAGUGUACAACCAUUGGAGAAGUGAGAAGGACAGACGUGAAAAAUAAGAACAGGACCCUCAGCCAGGCCAAAGCAGGACUCUUCCCAUGGCCAAAGCAGGACUCUACCCAUGGCCAAAGCAGGACUCUUCCUAUGGCCAAAGCAGGACUCUUCCCAUGGCCAAAGCAGGACUCUCACAUACUGUAUAACAUCUACACAUCCCAUUUUUCAGAUUUUUGUCUUUUUUUAAGUGGACCAAAUUACUUAUUUAAAAAUAAAGCGUGCAUAUCUGA